rnacentral:tRNA from 1 species
AUUUAUAUAGUUUAAAUAAAACAUUACAUUUUCAAUGUAAAAUUAGGGGUCCCUUAUUA